GGGGCUGGGCCGGGGGGUCCUCGUGGGGAAGGAGGGAGCUGGGAGGGGCCGCGGCUGCCGUCUCCUCUUCCGCUGUCUACAGCAGGGCAGGGGGUUUAUUUUCUUUCUUUGCUUCACAUUGACAGGAACCGAGAUUUGGUUUCAUUUAACGUUUCACCCAAUCACCCGAAAUGUAAAAACUGAACAAACAGUCUGAUCCGCACUUUCCACACUCCUUCUUGUGGUGCCGGAGCAGAGCUGUUAAAACAAACACAGGAGACAUGCGGGCGGGGCCCGGCUACCUACCGGCGGGCGCUCUGUCCCCUCGCCGCCCCUGCAGCCUCUCCGGCCUCCUUCGGCUCCCUCCUGCCCGAGCAGGGACAGCAGGUCCUGAGGACUGCGCCGCUCACACCCGAGACCAAGGGGUCUCACGGGUCCGCAGGAGGCGACAGUCAGCUUAGGGCUUUGCCCGACGCCUCGCUCAGAUUCCUGAGCGCCCAGCACGCUCUGUCGCGGUGACUUCACGCUGGCCCCGUCCUGCUCCCCCCGGCUCCUGGGUGGAUUCGAGGGUCACUUCGGUCAAGUCUUUGCCCAAGCGUGACCGUUCGGAGAGGCUUUCGCCAGCCCAGCCAGGAGAAGGAACCGCCUUGCAGGGAGCUGAACACUUUACUUUCGCUCUGGCAACUGCUGUUCUAAGGCAAAGGCUCCAGUCUGGGGCCAGGCCGUGCCUUUGGUGGCCUGGGAUGAGUUCAGAGGCUCAGAGACCUGCGGCAUCCUUCUCAGGCCAUAGCCGUCCUGGUUCACCAGGCGCUGAGCAGCCAGCCACAUCCGUAGGGCUUCCGUGCUUUCCAACAACACACGAUUCCUGGAGCUGAAAGCAAGAUAAGCCCUGGGGCUCUGGCAAGACUGGCAGACCCUGAGCCUCAGCUGCCUGUCUCCUGGCGUGGUGAGUCUGAACACUGUGGGCGGAACAUGGCUCAGAGGAGCACACUCCUACAUGCGGGGUUACAGCCUUCUCCUCGGCCACUGCACAGCGCGGUCCCAGGAGUGCACCCGCCAAGGACAGCACACCCUGGUGCGGCACUGGCCCCAUGAGCGAACGUAUCCCCGAGCAGCAGAGAGUGUGACAGCGCUUUAGGAACUGCAGAAGGGCAGAAUCCCACCAGACUUCCUGUUUACUGCACAGCACUGCUUCCUACAGUUGGUGUCAUGCAGACGUUUGCUUCUCACCCUGGUGGCGAAACUCUUUCUUCAUUACUGAGGGAAACUUAUUGUAGGCUCACAAAGUCUUAGUCAGACGGGUCUACCGCACCCAGCGCCAGCCUCGCGCACACACUUCCUGCUGCGCCGCGCCCAGCUGGGGGCAGUGCGUCCGUGAACAGCGAUCACCCGCAAAGGCUGCAGCCCCUGAGGGGGAGGAAACAGCUCUGCGACAAGCGUGUGACACAGGCAGGCUGAGGGCCCACACGGGAGCGCGAGGCUGACGCCACAGCUUGUACAUGAGGGGCAACUGUGAGACUGACUGGGAAUUGAAGCUCUUUGCAAGAAUUUGCCACAGGGUAGCAGCUGCCGUCCACCUACUGCCAAUCCUUUAUAUCUUAACGCUUUACUGUUUGAAACAAAACCCACCUACGUUCUCAAGCUGUCCUCCACAACUCAGCCCCAGAAAUUCUGGGUCUGGAAGCCUGUUUUCCAUGGUAUGAGGACAGACACCACAGUGGGUCUCAACAUCUGCCUGAUGGGCUAAGAUUCCCUCUCCGCUCAACCCCAACUUCCUAUAUAGACAAAUUUGAUUUUGGAGUCCAACCACUACCAGAAUCCCAGCUCUGCCUCUCACUGACCACAGAAACGUAAGGAAGGUGCUUAGCCACAACUUGUUAUCCGCAACCUGGGCUUGCAGUUGGCUCAUUUCAGCAUCAGUGAGAUGAUGCAGGCAUGACAAAGGGCUCGACAAUGGAAGCGAGAACGGCUCCGAAUGAAGCCCUGAAUCACCCUAAGGUAAGACUGCCGGAGUUUGGAUCUGGUAUGACCCCAAAAGCCAAUGUGCUGCAGGUUGGUCUCCAGCCCGUGGCACUGUCAGUGGAACCUGGACCAGAGGAGGUCAGCUGGGAGCAGGUUUGGUCCCUGCGGUGUGCCACCGAAGGGGACACCACCCCUCCAUCCAGCCCCUCCGCUACCACAAGGUGAGUAGGCUUUGUCUCCCAUGUGCCCGACCACAGGCCCCAAACCCCAAAGGCAAGCAACCACGGACUGAGACCUCUGCAGCCAUCAGCCAAAAUCAACCUUCCCUCAUCAAGUUGCCGAGCUCAGGUAUUUUGUCAGAGGGGAGAAAGCUGACCAAAGACUUGGUGCAGCACAGAAAAGGCCAGACGCUCUUUAUUCUGUGGGGCAGAAAGUGACAAGGAGGAAGGUAACAGCCCGGCCUGUACAAGACCCUACGUUAUCUGGAAAGACACAGGUAACUCACACGCACAGUGUUCAGCCAAAAUAGAACGUAACCAUGACGCCUGGGAAAGCAGGUGUUUACUGAAAGCCAGGCUAAUCUGCUUUAAAACGUCAGCCCUCCAUCAGCAGGGACGUCACCGGCCCUGCCCACUGCUCCAUCUGCAACACUGAGGUGCGCACUGGUGGGCACUUAGUUGGUGACGGAGACACGCCUGAGGGCAGGGAGAUGAGAGCACCGUAUGCGGAGCUGGUGGAAGGCACUGUGCGUGGAUGUGCAGACCUGGGUCUGAACCUCGGCCCUGUAACGAGGCCUUGUGUCCUCCCCUCUCAUGUGCCCGACCACGGGACCCCGGCUGGGGUCCUCUCCACCCUCAGCUGCCUCACCUGGGAAAGGGCUGCAUGGUCCCUGCUGGCCACGUUUGGCACGCAUACAAAUAUGCACAAGUGCACGUUCUGUCUGAAAAAGAACGACCACAGCCCACGAUGAACAGCAGCUUCCUGUCUGGAAGCUUCAGGACAGGUACGAAAUUGGACAGGUGGAAAGGAAUAAUGUCGCACAUACCCACCCUUAUGUCCCUUAACUUGGGCUCCAAAACCAAUAGUGGUGUCCGAGGAAUAACAGGGUGCACGGUUGUUUUUCUUUCCUGCCAUGGAAACCGACGGCCCAUGCUCCGCUGCUGUUAACAAGAUCAAUAAACUUGCCACAUUCAGAAAUUGACAAUUAAUCCCUUCACAGCACUUAAAGGCACAGGCCGCUGUACUUUAUACGGCCAAGCAGGCGGAGCACAUGGUUUUUAUUAUCAACCUCCCCCCUUUAAACACACACACACACACACACACACACACACACACACGCAAAGCCCCACUGCUAAUAAUUUUGCACCUUCUAGAACCGUCCGGGCUGAUUGUGAGGGGCUUCCCUGCCUGCUGCUCGGGGAGCGCCGCUGCCUCUGGUGCUGCUCCUCUUUCUGCAGGUUUAUGGUUUUGAGCUAUGGUGAGAAGCAUUUUGGGGCAGGCAGAGAUUUAUUCCCCUUUCUCAUGUUUUUACUAGGCUGAAUAAACACACUUGCGGAGAACGAAACCCAGGGCCACCGUGGGAUUUUGGAAAGCUCGGGAAUAAAACUGGCUUGGAAGCCAGCAGCCAGCACCUGCACAACCCGACGCAAGGAGACCUGGCUUGUGGUGUGGACCUCUUAAGGUGUCUCCAAGUCACACUUCAAGGUCCCCUACAUAAAGAGCUCUGUCCUGUUCAAGGACAUGGGCGGCGUUUGCAAUCCCAAGUCACACUUGCAGACAAAUCAACUGGCGGCUGUGCUGAAACCUCCUGGCUCCUUCUCCCAGUUGUGUAGCUUUUGUCUCCCUGACUCCAGCAUGAACCUCUCAGGAACCGGCUCCGAGCCACACUUGGCUGCACGUAAUGUCACCGAGGAGCAUUCCGGUCCUGCCCCUGCUCUGAUCUUCUGGUCGUGUCCCUGAGAUGCUGUCAGGCUGCACCCACUACUGAAGCAAUUAUUUCCACGGGAAAAACACGCUGGGCCCGUGCACCUUCAGACUUGCAGGAAUAGCGAUUUUUUGGCAGGAAUGUUCUUGAUAAAGGUCUCCUUUGUAGCUGCAGUGCUGAAGGCUGUAAUAGCUCUCAGCCUGAAUAGCACCGCACAACCCAGCCCGAGCACACAGAGCCUUUCUUCUCCCACCCCCAGUGCUGAUGCCGCACACAGUGCUCCUCAGGCAUUUUAUCACCUCCACCGCCCAUGGCUGUGACAGAGGACAAUGCCACCCAGACAUCGCAAAGGGACAGCUACAGACGAGCUCUUUUUCUAUUUCUAUGAGUAUUGACUUGGCCAAAGCAGACCUCGCGAUUCCAGUCUGUUUUUCAGGGUCCCGAGGUUAUGGUUGAGCUGGGAGAACUCAAGCUGUGAGGGCAAAGUCAACCAUGAUUAGUCCUUUCUUGGCCAUCAGAGUCAUAGAGUCCUUUGGACCAGUGACACAGUCUCAUGCAUUGAAGGUGAGAUUUUACUCUGCCCGCCCCACUGGGUAAGGGAUAUUUCCACAGGCACAGCAGCAACUCCUGACCCUCACUCCCUGCGAACAAAUGUCUGUCCACCCCGUUCUCUUAUUCUGGAGGUGGGCUUCUCACCUCACAGUGCUGAGGGCCUCGGAAGUGUGCAGGUCUUCACCGCCACGGGUCGCCCUUCGUCCCACCCAUCUCUGCUGUCCAAGUUUCAGAGAAGAGGCUGCUCUCUCUUCUUCCUGAAAUCUAACCCCACUCCUGGUCUCAGUAGCUGUCCUCUCCCCACUGCUCCUGGGAUUUUAAUACCCUCUGGUUACUUUUAAAGACCUCUUCCAGAAAUGGUCCAGUCUUCCUGAAGCCCUACACACACACACACACACACACACACACACACACACACACACACACACGGGCCUUGGACGUCACUGCUUCUGCUUAGCUCAGUUUCUUUCCUUCCCUUCACAGUCAAACAUUUUCAAUACAGGUCCACUGAUAUUACCUCCUGUUACUUCCUACUAAAUUUCCUUCUUCAUUCUCGUAAAGUUGGCGCCUAUUCCUGUUCUUUCUUGGACAUGACCCCUUGACAAUCAGCGCAUCUUCCAAUUCUACCUGCAGGAUCUCAGUCCUGAUUCAGAUUUUCUUUGUUGAUUAAAUGUCCUUUUUUUGGCACAGGGAAUUGAACUCAGGACCUUGAGUUGGCCAGGCAGGCCCUGUGCCACUGAGCAAAUCCGCAGCCCUCAGAUUUUCUUUGGGGUGUCUGUCUUUGGGGUGUUCCUCCGUCCUUGGAAACCUCUCCCCUCCGUCAUGGCUUCUAAUGAUCCUUGCUGGGUUUUCCUUCUCUUAUUCAAUAACUUUCUCUUUCCUACCUGGAAUUCACUUCCCAGUUACAAGGCUUCACUUCCUCCCAAGUAUGAGCUUGGUCCCCCAUUCCUCUCUCUGCUUACACUGUCAGGGGGGCUCUUGGGGUUCCCUCAUCCCUCAGUCCUGGCUGCCUCAAGACUGUAGAAUUCUACCUGGAUACACAGGCAUCACCUGUGCUGGAUCCCCCAGAAAGCAGAUGCCAAGAUGGAGAUCAAAGGACAGGUGAUUUCUGGGAGUGAUGCUGGCAGAAGAGGAGGAGGGAGAGACCACAGAGGGCAGGCGCCUCGACCAGGCCUGCCGUCUGAGUGGGGCGGGGAGAAGGAAGGCACUACAGCUCUGAGGUCGCCAGUGAGAGGUGGUCCAGAGGGUGGGACGGUGCGGCUCUCAGGCCUCCUCCAGCUCAGGCACUGGCUGGGAGCUGCCGGGCAGGGUGACCUGGACCUGACCUGCUGACAAACCCCAGCGGCCUCCGUGGAGGCUGCAGGUGACCCCCCUGCUCAGAGCAGACUUCCUCUAGGGCAAGUUGGCAACGGGCGCACUACGCCAGACCCGACCUUUCCUCCCUCCUGCCACACUUCCGUUUGUGCUUCCCCGCCUUUGGCAUCUCCCAAGCCACAGAGCUUCAGGUAACCUUUAUUUUCCGUUCCCCUCAUCUCUCACAGUGUGCAGCUCUGAAUCCCUUCGGAGGCCCUCUCAGCUCGCUCCUUCCCUCUCCUUUCCGGUCCAGUCUGUCUGGGUCACCACCCCCUGCGACGGCUGCCACGGCUGGGCCCCUUCUCUGGCUCCUCUUUCUCGCUCAUUCCCUAGACAUUGGGGCUUCCCAGGCCUAAUCCCUGGGUCCCAGCUUGUCUUACAUCACGGGCUUGUCCUAGCCGGUCCUACCCAUUAAUCAAUCUCCACCGAGACAUCCACAGUUCUAAAAUUUUUAUCUCUACGCCCAGUGCUGUGCAGAGCUCUAAAUAAACAUUUCUCAAACUUGAAGGUUAUAUGUUCUGCUUUUAAAGGGAAAAGAAUUAUUGUUUACCUCAGCAUUAAAUUCUUUUACUUAAAAUGUUAUAUACGUACUGACAUAAAGCUAAGUGUAAGCCCUUGAUAAUAAUUUGAAUUCUCACAGACAUUUUUCUACACAUUUUCUAUAGUUGAGCUCAUACUCUAAAUAUAUAUAUAUGUAGUAUUGUAUAUUGUCUCUUACUCUUGACAGUAGAGCAUACACAUUCUUGUUCAAUAAAACACUUGAUGAACAUUUUUUGGGAUGUAUAAUAUUCCAUUUGGUAGAUAAAAUUAAUCUAUUUCAUAAUGACUCUAAAUAAUGAA